AGGACGAACGCUGGCGGCGUGCUUAAAACAUGCAAGUCGAACGAGACCUUUGGUCUAGUGGCGAACGGCGGAGUAAUACAUAAGCAACCUGCCUCAAAGACCGGGAUAGCCCCUCGAAAGAGGGAUUAAUACCGGAUGUGGCCUUUGUGGGCAUCCACGAAAGAUUAAAACGAGCAAUCGGCUUUGAGAGGGGCUUGUGGCCUAUCAGCUAGUUGGUGGGGUAAUGGCCUACCAAGGCAUCGACGGGUAGCGGGUCUGAGAGGAUGAUCCGCCCGACUGGGACUGAGACACGGCCCAGACUCCUACGGGAGGCAGCAGUCGGGAAUUUUGCGCAAUGGACGAAAGUCUGACGCAGCAACGCCGCGUGAGGGAUGAAGGCCUUCGGGUUGUAAACCUCUUUUAUCAGGGAAGAUAAUGACGGUACCUGAUGAAUAAGUCACGGCUAACUACGUGCCAGCAGCCGC
rnacentral:rRNA from 1 species